rnacentral:rRNA from 1 species
GACGUAGGGGGCAAGCGUUGUCCGGAUUUAUUGGGCGUAAAGAGCGUGUAGGCGGCUUUACAGGUCCGUUGUGAAAACUCGAGGCUCAACCUCGAGACGCCGGUGGAAACCGUAAAGCUAGAGUCCGGAAGAGGAGAGUGGAAUUCCUGGUGUAGCGGUGAAAUGCGCAGAUAUCAGGAGGAACACCCGUGGCGAAAGCGGCUCUCUGGGACGGUACUGACGCUGAGACGCGAAAGCGUGGGGAGCAAACAGG